CUGAGUUAUACAGACAGACCAGAGCCAAGGCUAUACGCCUUAUUCAGCCCCCCGCCAUUUUGAUUCGAAAACGAGGCUAUGAGGGAUAGCAGUCAGCAGCGUUCACUAUGGCGUAUUGUUGUGUACCGGGAUGCAGGUCGUUUAGCCAUCAAAAUAAAGACAAUACGUCAUUUCACAAAUUUCCACAGGACAGAGAACUUCAGAAAAAGUGGAUUGUUAAAAUUAGACGGGACAUUGGACUUCCUUUCAGGUAACAAUAUUGCAUUUAUGGAUAAAAAGGACUGUGUACCCCUAACGUUAGCCUUUUGGCUAAACGCUAAUUUCUAACGUGAGCAUGUUUAUUUUCCUUUAAACGCCUGCAUAUAGCUAAAAUAUAAUAUUUUACCACAACAACUAAGUUCAAAAUCUCAAUUUUUCAUAGAUUACAAAGAACACACGAGUGUUCUGACUGGAAUCAGGAAGCUAAAGGGAGGUUCAGUUCCCUCCGUGUUUACAUGGACUCAACAGCCAAACGAAAGGAAAACCUUACGAUCACAAGAAAAAUGGCAUUUAGAGGAAGAACAUGAGGAAGAUGAAAGUUCUACAAAGGAUGGACCAAGCUACGAAGAAUGGUUAGUAGAAAUCUAUCAUACAAAAUGUGUACCAUAUUUUCUGCACUAUAAGGUGCACUUAAAAGCCUUUAAUUUUCUCAAAAAAAUGACAGUAAGCCUUAUAAUCCGGAGCGCUUUAUAUAUGGAUCAAGGCGCUCAAGGCGUCUUUAUAUGACUGUUUUGUUGACAUUCCCUUUAUCACAGCUCUAUCUAGUGGAUGCAUACCACAAACCCAGUCAAACGUUUGACUGCAGUAUCUUCUAUUCUAUGCGCCUUAUAAUCCAGUGCGCCCUAUAUAUGAAAACAGUUCUAAUAGGCCAUUCAUUGAAGGUGUGCCUUAUGGUGCGCCUUAUAGUGCGGAAAAUACGGUAUAUAAAUGCAUCAAAUGAGAAAUAAACAUGAAUAUAGAAUAGGUGUAUAAAAUCUUACUUGCCUGCUCUCAUUCUCUCUCUCUCUC